rnacentral:rRNA from 1 species
UACGGGAGGCAGCAGUAGGGAAUCUUGGUCAAUUGGCGAAAGCCAGAACCAGUCAUGCCGCGUGCAGGAUGAAGGCCCUACGGGUCGUAAACUGCUUUUAUUCGGGAAGAAAAAGUCUGUUUUCACAGACCUUGACGGUACCGAUUGAAUAAGGACCGGCCAACUCCGUGCCAGCAGCCGCGGUAAUACGGAGGGUCCAAGCGUUAUCCGGAUUCACUGGGUUUAAAGGGUGCGCAGGCGGCUAAGUAAGUCAGUGGUGAAAGCCUUCGGCUCAACCGGAGAAUUGCCAUUGAAACUACUUAGCUUGAGUGCAGUAGAGGUAGGCGGAAUGUAGCAUGUAGCGGUGAAAUGCAUAGAUAUGCUACAGAACACCGAUAGCGAAAGCAGCUUACCACACUGUAACUGACGCUGAGGCACGAAAGCAUGGGUAGCAAACAGGAUUAGAUACCCUGGUAGUCCAUGCCGUAAACUUUGAACACUCGGAGUUUGCCACCCAGUGGUAAGCUCCCUAGCGAAAGCGUUAA